rnacentral:rRNA from 1 species
UACAGAGACUGCAAGCGUUAUUCGGAUUCACUGGGCGUAAAGGGUGCGCAGGCGGUCGUGUGUGUCAGAUGUGAAAUCCCGGAGCUUAACUCCGGAACUGCGUCUGAAACUACAUGACUAGAGCAUUGGAGAGGGAAGUGGAAUUCAUGGUGUAGCAGUGAAAUGCGUAGAUAUCAUGAGGAACACCAAUGGCGAAGGCAGCUCGCUGGGACGGUACUGACGCUGAGACGCGAAAGCGUGGGGAGCAAACGGG